UUUCAAUUUACGUCGAAAAAAGAGACAAGGGUCCGAAUUGAAACAGGGUAAUUUAACCCGACCCGGUUAAUUGGACCCGAAAUAAAACCUCUAGAAUUAGUUGUGUUUAGGGGGUUUUAGCAAGGAGAGAGAAAAUGGACAGAGGGAAAUAUUUGGCAUUGGUGGGAGGAGGAGCUCUCUUGGGCUCUGUAUCUACCUUCUUUCUUCUUAGGCUUCUUCAAUCUCAAAAAAGAGGUGUAUCGCAGUGCAGUAAGAAUGUUCCGGCUGAUCUCAAUGGUGUUGAGGGAUGCUCUAUUUCUGGAAAGAAAAAUGAUAGGGUGGUUAACGAAGAUCUUCUGAAAGAUGAGAUUGUUUCAGAACAGCUAACUAGGAACAUUCAGUUUUUUGGCUUUGAAUCUCAGCAAAAAGUGACUGGAUCAUAUGUAGUGGUCAUUGGUCUUGGAGGUGUCGGUAGUCAUGCUGCUACUAUGCUCUUGAGAUCAGGGAUUGGCAAGCUUCUUCUUGUUGACUUUGACCAGGUUUCUCUUUCAUCACUAAAUCGACAUGCUGUUGCGACAAGAGCAGAUGUUGGCAUCUCGAAAGCUCAGUGCCUUAAGGAGUACUUCUUAUCUGUCUUUCCAGAGUGCCAAGUAGAUGCCAAAGUGUUAUUAUAUGAUUCAUCCACUGAAGAAGAAAUUCUCUCAGGCCACCCUGACUUUGUAUUGGAUUGUAUUGAUAACAUUGAUACAAAGGUGGCACUUCUUGCUGCAUGUGUACGCAGGGGUUUGAAGGUUCUAUCCGCCACAGGGGCUGGUGCCAGAGCUGAUCCAACAAGAAUACGCAUUGCUGAUCUGAGAGAGUCUACUAAUGAUCCAUUGUCUCGAGCUGUAAGACACCGUUUGAGGAAAGAUCAUGGCAUUGAAGGUGGUAUCCCUGUGGUGUUUUCUUUAGAAAAACCCAAAGCUAAGCUGCUUCCCUUUAAGGGUCCAAGCGGAGAAGAAAACCCUUCAGAUUACCAGAUAAUACCAGGUUUUAGGGUUCGUAUCAUACCUGUGCUUGGCACCAUCCCUGCAAUAUUUGGACAAUUCAUGGCCUCCUAUGUUGUGACAGAGUUAGCAGGAGUUCAUGUUCAAACAGAACCUGUAGUCAAUUUUGAUAUGGAUCAUUAUCAUACUCUUCAUCAACGCCUUAUCGAGCAUGAGGAGUCAGUGUAUGGAACAUCCACCGAAGUACUGAUAGAUGUUGAAGAAGUGAUGUAUAUUGUUAAAGAGUUAUGGAAUGGAAGAAGUGCUAGAGAAAAGCAUGUGAAAGAUGUUGGGCGAGGAAUGUGGCGAUCGGUUAAUGAACUAAUGCUUGUUAGGUGGGACAGUACAAAACCGGCAUCUAUUUCAAAUCUGAUUCUUUUGAAAUUCAAAGAGGUGGAUGAACAUGAAUCACGAACAUUGGAUGACAUAAAGGAAAAUGAACCAGAAUUUUACAGUAGAGUAACUGCUGUUUUAAAACGAGCUGAACUUGACUUUGGACUGUGAAUCUGUCAAGGCUACUCUUUUUGAAUGAUUUAAGUCUUAUAUUCCUCCCGCAUGCAGAAGACACUUUAAUGGAAGGUGCUCUCUUUUGAUCUUUAAUCUUCUCCAAGAACGCGAUCUACUUUAAUGGGUUUUUGACCUGCAGAAGACACUCUGACGCUCAAGUCAUAUAUGUUUCAUAAAGAGAUCUAUAUUUUAUUGGGAUAGUAAAAGAUGAUUGUACCUGACAUCAGUUGUAUUAUUUAUAAAGUUUGUGGCAGUCAAGUCCAUUGAUUAGUUAUCA